GAGACUCAACGAUCUGCAUGGUGCUAUGA
rnacentral:sRNA from 1 species